AUUGAACGCUGGCGGCAUGCCUUACACAUGCAAGUCGAACGGUAACAGGUCUUCGGAUGCUGACGAGUGGCGAACGGGUGAGUAAUACAUCGGAACGUGCCCGGUCGUGGGGGAUAACGAGGCGAAAGCUUUGCUAAUACCGCAUACGAUCUACGGAUGAAAGCGGGGGAUCUUCGGACCUCGCGCGGACGGAGCGGCCGAUGGCAGAUUAGGUAGUUGGUGGGAUAAAAGCUUACCAAGCCGACGAUCUGUAGCUGGUCUGAGAGGAUGAUCAGCCACACUGGGACUGAGACACGGCCCAGACUCCUACGGGAGGCAGCAGUGGGGAAUUUUGGACAAUGGGCGAAAGCCUGAUCCAGCCAUGCCGCGUGCAGGAUGAAGGCCUUCGGGUUGUAAACUGCUUUUGUACGGAACGAAAAGCCUCUUUCUAAUAAAGAGGGGUCAUGACGGUACCGUAAGAAUAAGCACCGGCUAACUACGUG
rnacentral:rRNA from 1 species